rnacentral:rRNA from 1 species
AGUCGGCGGGGUAACGGCCCACCGAGGCGACGAUGCGUAGGGGUUCUGAGAGGAAGGCCCCCCACACUGGUACUGAGACACGGACCAGACUCCUACGGGAGGCAGCAGUGAGGAAUAUUGGUCAAUGGGCGCGAGCCUGAACCAGCCAAGUCGCGUGAGGGAGGACGGCCCUACGGGUUGUAAACCUCUUUUGCCGGGGAGCAACGGGCGCCACGUGUGGCGUCACUGAGAGUACCCGGAGAAAAAGCAUCGGCUAACUCCGUGCCAGCAGCCGCGGUAAUACGGAGGAUGCGAGCGUUAUCCGGAUUUAUUGGGUUUAAAGGGUGCGUAGGCGGAUCGUUAAGUCAGUGGUCAAAUUGAGGGGCUCAACCCCUUCCCGCCAUUGAAACUGGCGCUCUUGAGUGGAAGAGAAGUAUGCGGAAUGCGUGGUGUAGCGGUGAAAUGCAUAGAUAUCACGCAGAACCCCGAUUGCGAAGGCAGCAUGCCGGCUUCCGACUGACGCUGAAGCACGAAAGCGUGGGGAUCGAACAGGAUUAGAUACCCUGGUAGUCCACGCGGUAAACGAUGAGCGCUAGGUGUCCGGGGGGAAUGGCCCCUGG